rnacentral:lncRNA from 1 species
CAGGAGCUGAACGGCAGGAUCAUGGAGGAUGUACAUCUUUUACAUUUGUGGAGACAACUAAAUUGUCCUGCCAGGAGAUCUACCAAGUGACAUGUGAAGAUGGGAGUUGCUGUCCUUUCCUGCCUGCCCUCAGGAGAGAUCGCUCCCCACUUCUCAGAGUCCUCCUCAAUCUGGGAUGAGAAGAAAGAGCACUGACUACACUGAGCAUUCCUGCACCAUGCUGGCUGGAUCCUGGACCUCCCUCUGUCUUCUUCCCCUCAUCUGGCAAAUGGGUACAAUGUCCCCUUUAAGCACUCUGAGGCAUUUCUCUGAGGGUGAAGUGAGACGGUGCGUUUUAAAAAUUCAUACCCACUUCAUUCCACAGUGCAUUUGGGGCAGCUUCUAAAAAUACCUGUGUUAUAAAGAGAUAAAAAUAAAUACUGUGUGAGAUCAUUUUACAAUUGUACUCUGAGCACGUUUCCCUAUUAUCGCUUGUAGAGGCGUAGAAG